GGUGGGGUUCCCGAGCGGUCAAAGGGAGCAGACUGUAAAUCUGUCGUCAUCGACUUCGAAGGUUCGAAUCCUUCCCCCACCACCA
rnacentral:tRNA from 1 species